rnacentral:rRNA from 1 species
UACGUAGGGGGCAAGCGUUGUCCGGAAUCAUUGGGCGUAAAGCGCGUGUAGGCGGCUUGGUAAGUCCGCUCUGAAAGCCCGGGGCUCAACCCCGGGAGGCGGGUGGAUACUGUCAAGCUCGAGUCCGGAAGAGGCGAGUGGAAUUCCUGGUGUAGCGGUGAAAUGCGCAGAUAUCAGGAAGAACACCAAUGGCGAAGGCAGCUCUCUGGGACGGUACUGACGCUGAGACGCGAAAGCGUGGGGAGCGAACAGG